rnacentral:rRNA from 1 species
AUUGAACGCUGGCGGAAUGCUUUACACAUGCAAGACGAACGGCAGCAGGGACUUCGGUCUGGUGGCGAGUGGCGAACGGGUGAGUAAUGUAUCGGAACGUGCCCAGUCGUGGGGGAUAACGUAGUGAAAAUUACGCUAAUACCGCAUACGAUCUAUGGAUGAAAGCGGGGGAUCGCAAGACCUCGCGCGAUUGGAGCGGCCGAUAUCAGAUUAGGUAGUUGGUGGGGUAAAGGCCCACCAAGCCAACGAUCUGUAGCUGGUCUGAGAGGACGACCAGCCACACGGGAACUGAGACACGGUCCAGACUCCUACGGGAGGCAGCAGUGGGGAAUUUUGGACAAUGGGCGAAAGCCUGAUCCAGCCAUUCCGCGGGCAGGAUGAAGGCCCUCGGGUUGUAAACUGCUUUUGUACAGAACGAAAAGGUUUCUACUAAUACUAGGAGCUCAUGACGGUACUGUAAGAAUAAGCACCGGCUAACUACGUGCCAGCCGCCGCGGUAA